UGCUCUUACAGCUGGCAUUGCUGGGCUUCACCUGUCAAGUCUCAAGCCUGAAGGCAAUCAGUGAGAUUGGAGUGAGAGACAAAAGGGACUAAGCCUGUGGUUCAGGGAGUAGGGGGGGUUUCCUGUUGGAUCUGCACUGGAAUCCCUUUUGGAAAGAGAGAAGAUUGAGAUUUUAUGCUUUCAUACUUGUGCGUGGCGAGUCCCAGUGCACCUGCUGGCGGGCCUGUCUCAAAGCCCCGGCGUCUUCUGUGAAGGAGUGUGAGGAAUGACUGAAGUGUUAAAUAAGGACAUCAGUGAGCAUGGCGAUUCCCUGCAGGCUGCUGGGAGCAGCGUGGAGAGGAAGGCAGCGCCAUCUUUUGCAAAAUGGUACAAAGAAAAUAAGCACCACUGAAAUGCAACUUCCAGCAAAUGUUUGUGACUUUAGCUAUGUUGCGGCUCGUGAUGUCCUACUGCUGUCAUUAAUGCUCUGGCUGUAGGACACUUGAACAUUUGGGACAGCUUUUCCUGCGUGUGUACAGAUGAAGUGGGUUUUUUUUGUUCUGGGGUGUUGCUUAUGCCUCCCUUUCCCCCCUUCCUCCCCCCAGACCUGGUUUAUCUCAUGUCAGAAACAGUUUUCUUAAAUGCCAGGCCUGAAAACUUGUCCUGGGCUCUGGUGGUCACUCUUUCAUGUUUCUUCUUCCCUCUUCCUGUGUCGUUACUUCCCUAAAGACUGCGUUGCCCCAAAUGCAGCCCUGCCAGCUGGCUGUGCUAGGCAGAGUGUAGCCAACACCAUCAUUUUGGAAGACAGAGCAUGGACAAAUAAAUCACAGUGUGAGCAACACCCGACUACGUGUAACCUAGUAAUGCUAGAUUGCAGAAGCAGAUUUCCUUCUGUUUCCCUUGAUUAUGCACUCUUUCAUUAAACUGGGAGGUGGAGAGAAAUUGCUAUUUGUUUAAGAAUUCAGCUGCCUAGAGAUGGCAAAGCACGGAAGACUUCUUCCUUGCAAAGGACAGCUCCUUGACUAUCCUACUCCUGUUUGCCAAGCAAACACCAGGGGAGAAUGCAAGACUCUUGAAAAGCCUUUGUGACUUCUAGAGGAAAAGUACCAAAAAUGCCAGGCCCUUGGUGGCUGCAGUCAUGGAGACAACUGGUUGAAAGCUUUCUCAUCACUUCCCAGACAGGAUUUUGCUACAGGACACAGAACUAAAAGGGUCUCUAUGGUCUCUGUCCUGCAUGGAAGCACCAGCAACAGUCCCAUUGCACUUUCUGAAGUUGGUCUUGGCAGCCAUAUAGGACUCUGUGAGCCAGUGAGGUUGUGGGUAGGCACAAGGGCACAGGAAGGAGGUGGUUAGGAGACAUUGGGAACUAGGAAAGAUAUAGAUAUCUGGAGUCAGCAGCCUUAACAACUCUUGUGACUUCUCAACGCCAGUCAUUCUGGGAUGUUGAUCACUCCAUGGCAGCCUUGUCACACAGGUCACUGUGGCACGAAGACCAAAGAGGGAGCUACGCUUCAGCGACUCAUCACCCACAUUAUUCACAAGCCUCAGGUUGCACUCUGCAAUAAGCAAGCUGGGCUUUGGGAUGCUGGCUGACCUUCACAGAGGGGGCUAGUGUGAUAUGUUUGUGAUCUGCAAAUACCUGUAUUCUGGGUGGAACAGGAUUACGUGCAGGAAUAUUUCCAGAGCCACAUCACUCUGCCUUCCUAUAUCCAUAUCCUGCCCAGAUAUGGUAUGUGUGUUUUCCCCAUAGUGUUUUGUUGUUGUUGAUCUAAAUAAAACUGGCAGUAGCAAAAGGAAGUGGCAUGGCCUAAUCCACAAGACUCUCAGAAUGUCUCUCUAAUGCAUAGGUGUCCAACCUUUUGGCUUGCCUGGGUUGCACUGAGUGAAGAGAAAUUGACUUGGGCUGCGUGUAGGCCACUCUGAAGGUAAUGCCUCCUAUCUCUUUCCAUGGAAACUACAAUAGAUACAAUGAGCACAGUAACUUUGUUUGAUAGAGCAAAUUCUCAGCUUCAAAACACUAUUUCUCAACAUAGUCACCACC